rnacentral:misc_RNA from 1 species
GAUGAGAACGUAGCGAAAUGCGAUAAGUAGUGUGAAUUGCAGAAUUCCGUGAAUCAUCGAAUCUUUGAACGCACAUUGCGCCCCUUGGUAUCCCGAGGGGCAUGCCUGUUCGAGCGUCAUUUCACCACUCAAGCCUGGCUUGGUGUUGGGCGACGUCCCCUUUGGGGACGCGCCUCGAAACGCUCGGCGGCGUGGCACCGGCUUUAAGCGUAGCAGAAUCUUUCGCUUUGGAAGUCGGGGCCCCGUCUGCCGGAAGACCUACUCGCAAGGUUGACCUCGGAUCAGGCAGGGAUACCCGCUGAACUUAAGCAUAUCAAUAAGCGGAGGA